UUCGUAGGUGGCCAACUAAGUCAGACGUGAAAUCCCUCAGCUUAACUGGGGAACUGCGUCUGAUACUGGUUGGCUUGAGUGCAGGAGAGGAACGCGGAAUUCCAGGUGUAGCGGUGAAAUGCGUAGAUAUCUGGAGGAACACCGGUGGCGAAGGCGGCGUUCUGGACUGCAACUGACACUGAGGAACGAAAGCCAGGUAGGCAAACG
rnacentral:rRNA from 1 species